rnacentral:rRNA from 1 species
AAGAGACAGCAGUCGCCACGGUAAUACGUAGGGUGCGAGCGUUAAUCGGAAUUACUGGGCGUAAAGCGUGCGCAGGCGGUUUGUUAAGACAGAUGUGAAAUCCCCGGGCUUAACCUGGGAACUGCAUUUGUGACUGGCCGGCUAGAGUAUGGCAGAGGGAGGUGGAAUUCCACGUGUAGCAGUGAAAUGCGUAGAUAUGUGGAGGAACACCGAUGGCGAAGGCAGCCUCCUGGGCCAAUACUGACGCUCAUGCACGAAAGCGUGGGGAGCAAACAGGAUUAGAUACCCGUGUAGUCCCUGUCUCUUAUAA